rnacentral:rRNA from 1 species
CACGUAGGGGGCGAGCGUUGUCCGGAAUCAUUGGGCGUAAAGCGCGUGUAGGCGGCCAGAUAGGUCUGCUGUGAAAACUCGAGGCUCAACCUCGAGACGUCGGCGGAAACCAUCUGGCUAGAGUCCGGAAGAGGAGAGUGGAAUUCCUGGUGUAGCGGUGAAAUGCGCAGAUAUCAGGAAGAACACCCGUGGCGAAGGCGGCUCUCUGGGACGGUACUGACGCUGAGACGCGAAAGCUAGGGGAGCAAACGGG